CAAAGCUUCUAGCCCACAGUUAAUGCCAGCUGGAGGCAGCCACAGUGCCUCUAUCCCUCUGCCUCCCCUUUUAUUUUUCUGGGUCUUUCUUUUUGGAAAAGCAGGAUAGGUCAUCAGUCCUUAGGCAAAUAGAGAGCCUGCAUUACUUUGCUGAGGACUGGUUUUCACCUUUUUGGGGGCGGAGGGCACCUGGAGAAUGGGACACCCUCUAUACUCUUUCUCCUCUUCUAUCAUGCAUCAAAGCUCUUCCUCAACAUAUGGUGAGGCCCAAGGACCAGUUUGGAAUGGCAGGAAGCACGGUGGAUUUUCCCUGUGAAGUACAAGGAGGUGAUGUCUCCAAGAUGUCAUCCAACAAUAAAGCCCAUCAGCAUUAGCAACUGACAGCUAAUUAUACCACAGAUACUCAAGCAUGAAGUGCAGAGUGCUUAAAAAUUGCUACACAACAUGGUCUCUAAAAUUAAGCUGUUUAACUUUUCCAGGGAUGAAAAUCUGUUUUAACAAAUCACUGCAUUGAAUGGCCUUUCAAUUUCUUCUUUAUUGGACUCUAUCUUUUUACAUAAUCAGAUCUAAUUAUGAAUGCAAGCCAUUUUUGAACCUGGCAUUAACAAGAGAAAUCAAAAACUCCAUGUGGUAUAUGCUAAUUUUCUCCUUAAUAAUGUAGCUAAACUGACCUUUGCCAAAAUAAAAUGUGGUAGAAACAGUGAAAGUAAAAUUUUUAGUGUUUCAAAUAAAGAAUUUUGAGGAAGAGGCCUGUUGUUUGUAGCUUCCCAAAUUAUUAAGUAUGGAAUAAUCUACAAGUGAAGUUUACCAUGCUUGUUCCUCAGUUUUUUAGUACAUUGUAGGAAGCCAACUGCUACACAAUGGAUGUUGCAGUGUGGUGUUUAUCAGAACCUUCCCCACUGCUCACGUGGCCCAGCAUGAUCACGGCCAGUAUGACUGCCAAGCUAUCCUUGUAUCGGGGGGGGAUGAGGGUGAUUUUGUGCAAAUCAAAGGUAAUAAAGGAGGUUUUUAUUCAUUAUAUGGAUUUUUUUUUAUUUUAUUGUGAAUUUUUGUCUCUGAGCAGCCUAAACAUAUAUUGUAGAGGCUAUCUACUGACUUAUCUUGGCUGAGGAUGGGAGAAAGGGGCCUGCUUUCUCUUCAAACUCCUUUCCAGUACCAUUGUCGUAUAAGACACAUGUUCAGAAGAGGUUAGGGCAUACUUAUUCAAUCUCUUUUAUAGUGUAUGAUCGUUUUCAUAUUCAAAGCAAGUGGGGAAAAUUUUGCUAAAUGGAUAAAGGUUUUCAUCCAUUUAAUGCACUGCUAUAAAUUUCACCCUCAUUUCUUCUGAGAAGUUAUGGGAGCCUCAAAAAUUUCUGAAGUGGAGUAAUUAUCUCAUAUGAAUAUUUUAAACUUCAGUAAUUUUGAGGGAGAGGAAAUGAUCAGCUUUUCUAACAGUAGUAGAAUAAGAAGUUAGAGGUUAUGUUAUUAAAGGAUACAUUUGACUUGAAAAUUGAAGUAAAAUUGCUUUAGGAUGAUGAGGUAAUCAGUUAUUCUUCUUGAUGAUAUAGAUAUAACAGUUCAGUAAGAGCAUCCAAAUGAAGCUAUCAGAAUGUAAUCCCAAGUUUUCUUCUUGACUGCAGCAGUUGCAGAUGUUCUCUGUCUUUUGUAAUUUACAUCACGCCAUUUCAAAAGAGUCUCAGUUUUGUUUUAUUAGCUUUCAAGCUCUCAAACAAAUGAAUACCACUGUCAGAGUACAAAUAUUUUCCCAAACUUACCAUGGACCAUCGUGUGAUUUGAGGAGACAGGGCUCAACCGACAAUAAAUGGAGUAGGUGUUGUCAUGGUAAUGUGAGAGAAGAGACCCUUGCUAAAAUUUGUUAUUUCUCUCAUUUUUGUCUUUCCUAUUACAACGUGCCUUGGUCAGCUAGGCACAAACAGUCAAAGAGGUUCCUGCAGAGGAC